rnacentral:rRNA from 1 species
AUUGAACGCUGGCGGCAUGCCUUACACAUGCAAGUCGAACGGUGACGGGCCUUCGGGUGCCGACGAGUGGCGAACGGGUGAGUAAUACAUCGGAACGUGCCCGAUCGUGGGGGAUAACGAGGCGAAAGCUUUGCUAAUACCGCAUACGAUCUACGGAUGAAAGCAGGGGACCGCAAGGCCUUGCGCGGACGGAGCGGCCGAUGGCAGAUUAGGUAGUUGGUGGGAUAAAAGCUUACCAAGCCGACGAUCUGUAGCUGGUCUGAGAGGAUGAUCAGCCACACUGGGACUGAGACACGGCCCAGACUCCUACGGGAGGCAGCAGUGGGGAAUUUUGGACAAUGGGCGCAAGCCUGAUACAGCCAUGCCGCGUGCAGGAUGAAGGCCUUCGGGUUGUAAACUGCUUUUGUACGGAACGAAAAGCCUUCUUUUAAUACAGGAGGGUCAUGACGGUACCGUAAGAAUAAGCACCGGCUAACUACGUG